GGACUACCGGGGUAUCUAAUCCUGUUUGAUCCCCAUGCUUUCGUGCCUGAGCGUCAAUAAAGCGCCAAUUCGCUGCCUUCGCCACUGGUGUUCUUCCGAAUAUCUACACAUUUCACUGCUACACUCGGAAUUCCACGAAUCUCUCGCUUAUUCAAGACUGACAGUAUCAAAGGCAGGUUCACAGUUGAGCUGUGAGAUUUCACCCCUGACUUACCAGUCCGCCUGCGCACCCUUUACACCCAGUAAAUCCGGACAACGCUAGGACCCUACGUAUUACCGCGGCUGCUGGCAC
rnacentral:rRNA from 1 species